GGGAUUGCCUCAGUAACGGCGAGUGAAGCGGCAACAGCUCAAAUUUGAAAUCUGGCCCCUUCGGGGUCCGAGUUGUAAUUUGUAGAGAGUGCUUCGGGGGAGACCGCGGUCUAAGUCCAUUGGAACAUGGCGUCCCAGAGGGUGAGAAUCCCGUAUGUGACCGUGGCUCGAACCCAUGUGAAGCCUCUUCGACGAGUCGAGUUGUUUGGGAAUGCAGCUCAAAAUGGGUGGUAAAUUUCAUCUAAAGCUAAAUACGGGCUGGAGACCGAUAGCGCACAAGUAGAGUGAUCGAAAGAUGAAAAGCACUUUGGAAAGAGAGUUAAAAAGUACGUGAAAUUGUUGAAAGGGAAGCGCUGGCAACCAGACCUGCCCGUAGGCGAUCAGCCGCUGUUCUCAGCGGUGCACUCGCUCUGCGAUCAGGCCAGCAUCGGUUCCGGCGGUCGGACAAAGGCCUUGGGAACGUACCUUCCCUUCGGGGGAGUCUUAUAGCCCUCGGUGCAAUGCGGCCAGCCGGGACCGAGGACCGCGCUUCGGCUAGGAUGCUGGCGUAAUGGUUGUCAGCGACCCGUCUUGAAACACGGACCAAGGAGUCUAACAUCUAUGCGAGUGUUUGGGUGUUAAACCCAUGCGCGGAAUGAAAGUGAACGGAGGUGAGAACCCUGAAGGGCGCAUCAUCGACCGAUCCAGAUGUCUUCGGAUGGAUUUGAGUAUGAGCAUAGCUGUUGGGACCCGAAAGAUGGUGAACUAUGCCUGAAUAGGGUGAAGCCAGAGGAAACUCUGGUGGAGGCUCGCAGCGGUUCUGACGUGCAAAUCGAUCGUCAAAUUUGGGUAUAGGGGCGAAAGACUAAUC
rnacentral:rRNA from 1 species